GGGGAUGAUCGGUUUCGACAUCGUCUGUGAACCUGCGAGAAGCGGGCCGAGAAUGCGGAGUCAACUCGUUAAUGUCCUCCGCAAAACCAUAAGUGCCGAAUCUAACGACACUGCCUCGCAGAAGAUCACCCAGGACCAGUUCGCCCUCGCGGCGUAGGUUCUGAUUCUUCAGCACUAAACAGGCCGUCGGCCCGGGAAUGUCUUCUACCCGGGUUCCGGCGUAAUCUAGAGGGCUUGCUGCGCGACUGAGCCUCAGGGUCGCGCGGGACUCUUCCUGAGACUGGGCUCGUCGGUCGCGUUGCCAAUGACAACGACCGGGGCCGAGUAGAACGCACCAUUGGCUGCACCCGGAGAAGGCGCAGACUCUCAGCGAUGGACGGGGGUUCGAUUCCCCCCAUCUCCACCA
rnacentral:tmRNA from 1 species